GGGGGUAUAGCUCAGUGGUAGAGCACAUGCUUAACAGGCACAGAACCCUGGGUUCAAUUGCCAGUGCCUCUA
rnacentral:tRNA from 1 species